AUGGCACACAAUAGAGCGCCCGGGCCGGACAACAUUCCUGUGGAAUUCUAUCAGGUGUGUUGGGAUAUCGUGAAGGAUGAUAUUAUGCUCCUGUUUGGACACUUUCAUAAAGGAGGAUUGGACGUACAACGCCUCAAUUAUGGAGUGAUUACUCUUCUCCCCAAAUUUGCGGGCGCAGACAAGAUUCAACAGUUCCGGCCGAUUUGCCUCCUGAGAUGUCCGUACAAACUUAUCACUAAGGUCCUAGAUAGGCGAGUUGAAAAAUAUGCUGAUAAGCUCAUAAAUAGGGCCUAG
rnacentral:rRNA from 1 species